CCUUCUGUCGCAUGCUGUACGUUCUGUCUGGAAGAAGGCCGAUAGAGCGCAGAAUUCUUCAAAGACAUCCAUCCUUACUGCUGCAGAGCCUCUUCAUCCUCAGAGGAAGAGCCUGCAAGCACAUUGCCAUGGAAACAUGCCGUCCCUGCCUCCCCCUAAGAGCUUGACCCUGUUGGAAUGGAUACGAGGAAGCACCAUCAUCCCUCAACAUGUUACAGGAGGUGGAUCCUGCUAAACGGACUGUGUGAGUUGGAGCGACUUCACCAAAAAGUGGAUUUUUUUCUAACCCUUUUUACUAAUCUUUACAAGGGGUGCCAAUAAUUGUGGAGAGCACUUUAAAAUGUUUUUAUCACACAUUAUUGAUCAGAAAUUUGACCUGCUAAGCUACUAAUACAAAGGACAAGGCACGAUAUUGAAAAAAAAGUAACAGAGCCAGCUGUGCUUCAUACCCAUAUGAUAUAAUGAAUGAUUGUUGAUUUAUAGUUUCUUUCCAAAUUGUCAACUUUAUUAAAACCAGUAAUAAACACGUAGCUGAA